rnacentral:rRNA from 1 species
CUUACCUACGGGGCGCAGCAGUGGGGAAUAUUGCACAAUGGGGGAAACCCUGAUGCAGCGACGCCGCGUGAGUGAAGAAGUAUCUCGGUACGUAAAGCUCUAUCAGCAGGGAAGAAGAUGACGGUACCUGACUAAGAAGCCCCGGCUAACUACGUGCCAGCAGCCGCGGUAAUACGUAGGGGGCAAGCGUUAUCCGGAUUUACUGGGUGUAAAGGGAGCGUAGACGGCAGCGCAAGUCUGGAGUGAAAUG